UUCCUGAAUCGGGUUUUCUUGACCCUUUUUGAGCCAAAAUAUAUUAAACCCACAGUACAAAACAAAUCCGCUUUCUACUUAACCCUUUUCUUUGCAAAACACUGAUGGCGAUCAAAGGAGACUCGCCGCCUCUAAUCUACGAUCAACCACAUCUUUGAUUAUACACCUUAUUUUCUGUUGCAGAUGCUUAGAUUCACUUCAAAUUCAAGUGAGUUGUUCAUAUCUUUCAUCGAUCACAUGAAUUGUUUCUGAUUGUACGUCGAUUUGUGUUUUCUUGUGUUUCUGAUGGUUUAAAUGUUUGAAAUCAACAUUGUGCAGUUUAGGUUUAGUAUUUUGUUUAUAAUUCACACGCUAUGAAUGUUUUGGUAGCUUGAUUGGUAGUAUUUGGAGUUUGAUUUGUGAGAUUAAAAGAUAAAACGGUUAAUAGUCAGGGUUAGUAGUUAGGGUUUGAUAAGUAGGGUUGAUAGUUAGGGUUUGGUGUAUGGGGAAGCAGGAUUAUCAAGGAAAGGGUCAUUGUGUAACCUAACAUUAUAUGAAGUUCAACCGCAGUUAGGGGAUUUAAGGGAGCCUUUAUUUUUAUGAAUCUGGAUGAGCUUUUGAUGAGUGUGUAUAGUGCUGAAAGUAAUCAAGCGGCAAGUAGUAACGCGGUUAAUUAUACGAAGCUCACACAGCUUGAUUCAGGUGUGACAAAGAAGAUGGUUGAUGAAGUGUGGUAGGAUAUACAACAGGGUCAGAAGAAGAAAACGAAUGUUAGUGAUGAUGAUGGGAAUAAAUGUUAGUAAGGGUGGUAAUUUUAAGUGUGGUGAAGAGAAGAGACAACCUACUCUUCGUGAGAUAACACUUGAAGAUUUGUUGGUCAAAGCAGGGGUUGUUUUGAAUGUUUUCCCGAGAAGAUGAAUGAAUAAGGGAAUCUUGAACAGAAAGAAUUGCAGUGGAAAAACUAUCAAAGUCCUGCAAGUUACUAACAGAAUGUGAUUAUGGCUGCUCAUUAUCAUGUUCAACAAUCGGUUUUGGUUCCUGGUAACACUUUAAUGGAUGUGGGUUAUAUGUCUCCAACCACUUUAAUGGGUAGUUUAUCAUACAGUCAUGUCUGGAACGAAAAGGUUUGCUUUUGGAGAUGUGAUGGAGAAGACUGUUGAAAGAAGGCAAAAGCGAAUGAUAAAGAAUAGGGAGUCUGCUGCAUGCUCAAGAGCAACAAAACAGCACUCUCAACUUAUCUACUAGGGAGGCAAUGGUAAUAGAUCUUACUGGUAUUAAAGACUUCUGCAGCCUUUAGAAAUCUUAAAAUUUUAAUUGUUUAGCGUGUUUUAUUAAAUUUAAACUUGUAAGUGAGAAUAUAUAUUCAUGCCUGAUGCAUGUUGUAUGAGCAAAGAUAUUUGAGACUUUGGUUAGGUUUAUAUCUAGACCAAUUCAUCUGAUUAUAUAUGUUUAUAAGUUUUCGGUUU